GCGGCGCAGGCAGCGCGGGGCGCAGCAGCGGCCGGCGGCCCCCGGGCUCGCGCGCGUUGCCAAGCGGCCGUUUCCGUAGCAACCCCGCCCGGGGAUGGAGGACCAGGCAGGGAGGGGGGCCGAGAAGCGAAAGAGAUAGAUCAAAAAGAGGGAAAGAGAGGGACAGGGAAGCUAGGGGCGACGGGGGUUACGCCGAGGUCUGGUCCGGCUUCGCAGCACGAGCAAGAGAGCUGUGCGGGCUGCUGGGCUGGGAAGUCAGGGCUUGGGGGCCCGGCCUGCCCUUCGGUGCGUUUAGCUCCCGGGGCCUCCCAGGGCCCCCGACUUUAAAGUGCUCAAGUUGGGGUCGGCGCCAUCAUGACGCCCGAGACUGUUGCUUGAGGAAGAGGCUAAUAUCUGAAUCAGUAGGAUGAGGAAAGAGACCCAACCUUACCAACAUGGAUAUUGUAGUGGGUAGCCAUUCCAGCUUUGAUCUGGAAGUUCCAACCCCCAUUGAGACUUCGGCAACUGUCACGCCUACAAGGCGGGGCGAAAGGAGGCGCCUGGGGACCUGAGAUCUGGAUCGGUGGGCUCUCUCUCUGUUGCGGGACCCUGGACUGGAGAGGUGGACCAAGCAGAGCUCCAGAGAACACCGCUGGACUGCGAUACACCUUCCCCAGACUCCGCGACCUACCUAUCCCUUAAUUUUACUCUGCCUGCAUGUAUGCCUGCAGGCCAGAAGAGGGCACCAGAUCUCAUUACGGAUGGUUGUGAGCCACCAUGUGGUUGCUGGGAAUUGAACUCAGGACCUCUGGAAGAACAGCCAGUGCUCUUAACCGCUGAGCCAUCUCUCCAGUAGAUAGAACAUAUUAAGUAUUAGAUUCAGGUUCUUUAGGAUAGGACACCUUUUGGAAUGAUCUUUGUAACAUGCCAUUUACCUAUGCUCUAUACUUCUCUGGAUUAUAGUAUGUGUUUCUUGCUUGAUAUUGUUUGCAUUGGUUGUAGUUCCAUCUUAUCUAGGUCAUUAUCCCUCAUUAUUCCUGGACUAUAUUUGAUAACCAUUCCUUUGUAUAUAGUCUUGUAUUAGGUUAGAACUUUCUUAUUUAGACAAAAAGGGGGAGAUGUAGUGGGUAGCCAUUCCAGCUUUGAUCUGGAAGUUCCAACCCCCAUUGAGACUUCGGCAACUGUCACGCCUACAAGGCGGGGCGAAAGGAGGCGCCUGGGGACCUGAGAUCUGGAUCGGUGGGCUCUCUCUCUGUUGCGGGACCCUGGACUGGAGAGGUGGACCAAGCAGAGCUCCAGAGAACACCGCUGGACUGCGAUACACCUUCCCCAGACUCCGCGACCUACCUAUCCCUUAAUUUAUAUUCCAGGCUAGCCUCAAGCUCAUGAUAUCCUGAUCUGAGCCACUGCACCCAGCUUCCUUCUUGGUCUUAAAGAAAGAACAGACAAAUUCAUAGCAAGACUAACUUUCAAACAAGUCAGUUUCCAAAGCAGAGGCUUCCGCAGGCCUGUGAUGCUCUUUCUGCUGUUGUGGCUUUCCUUCAGGACUCCUGGUGCUGACAGCUCCUGCAGAUUGAUGCGUGUGGUUGACCUCAGCUUGUCAUCUUCCUGCCUCUCCCUGUCAGCUGCUGGGACUGCAGGCAUGCGGCGUCGAACGGAGCCACAACUCACCUUUAUUUACAAGUUUUUCAUUUAUCAACGUGAAAGGCAGGCUAACGGAAGAGCUCACGCACAUCUGUUUGGCAUUGAAUACUAAAUACAUGAAUGUUUAUUAAAAGGGCUGUUUUCCUGAGAUUUCUUUGGGGCAUUUGAGAGGAACAUUUGGGAAAAGAAAAACAGAGCAAGAAGCAGAUGCAGGAUGUCAAAGGCAUAGUGUCUCAGUCUCCCCAGACUGCUGCACACACAGAGCCACAGUCAAGCUGUUAUGUUGAAAGAGCAUCAUUCUGUUGUACCUCACUAAGGUGACAGACGCUCACAGGCAAGGAUUGGUAGGGUUGUGCUUCCUCAGAGAGCUGCUUUUGCUAAGUUCAACCCCUGACUUUGUGUUUCUUUCUUUGUGUGUCCCCUAAAAAUCUCACUCUUUUUCCUGGCAUCUCUUUCUAAAUCCCAGGAUUCAUUCAUAAGUUUAUUUUUGGGUAUUUAACAUGUUAGAAGUGAAAAGUCUCCACUUCAAAUUAAGGUCACACUCUGGUUUCAGAUGGACUCUGUGUGGGGAUUGUACAUCUACACACAAAGUAUGAUUGUGGUGACCUAUAUAUUAGGAAGGAUCUGUAUUUUAUAUUAUAUAAAGGCUGAUUUU